GUUGAGCUGAGUUAUGCUAGCUUGUAACUCAAGUGAGGGCAUCAAGCUGAUGGAACAACUCUGAGACUUAGUUGGGUUGGGAUGUUGCUUGCAAAAUGUUGGCUUGACCAAGUUGAGAGUUCAUUCAUGGGACUUGAGCGAAGGCUUAUGUCUCUUGGGUCUUAGACUAGAGGGCACUGCGUGAGGCUGGUUUCACAAAGUAUGGAUUACUCUUUGGAUACAUAGCAUAAUGCAUUGAAAUCACAAAACACUAGAUGCACAAUUAGGAAGUAGCAUUCUGAAUACCUGGCAGUUUC
rnacentral:SRP_RNA from 1 species